AACGAACGCUGGCGGCAUGCCUAACACAUGCAAGUCGAACGAGACCUUCGGGUCUAGUGGCGCACGGGUGCGUAACGCGUGGGAACCUGCCCUUAGGUUCGGAAUAACUCCCCGAAAGGGGUGCUAAUACCGGAUAAUGUCUUCGGACCAAAGAUUUAUCGCCUUUGGAUGGGCCCGCGUUUGAUUAGCUAGUUGGUAGGGUAAAAGCCUACCAAGGCGACGAUCCAUAGCUGGUCUGAGAGGAUGAUCAGCCACACUGGGACUGAGACACGGCCCAGACCCCCACGGGAGGGAGCAGUGGGGAAUAUUGCGAAAAGGGCGAAAGCCUGUCGGAGCACUGCCGCGUGGAGGUAGAAGGGCCGUGGGUUGUGAACUGCUUUUUGCGGAGAAGAAGUAAUGACGGUAGCGGGAGAAUAAGCCCCGGCUAACUCCGUG
rnacentral:rRNA from 1 species